AGUGAACGCUGGCGGUAGGCCUAACACAUGCAAGUCGAACGGCAGCACAGUAAGAGCUUGCUCUUACGGGUGGCGAGUGGCGGACGGGUGAGGAAUACAUCGGAAUCUACUUUUUCGUGGGGGAUAACGUAGGGAAACUUACGCUAAUACCGCAUACGACCUACGGGUGAAAGCAGGGGAUCUUCGGACCUUGCGCGAUUGAAUGAGCCGAUGUCGGAUUAGCUAGUUGGCGGGGUAAAGGCCCACCAAGGCGACGAUCCGUAGCUGGUCUGAGAGGAUGAUCAGCCACACUGGAACUGAGACACGGUCCAGACUCCCACGGGAGGCAGCAGUGGGGAAUAUUGGACAAUGGGCGCAAGCCUGAUCCAGCCAUACCGCGUGGGUGAAGAAGGCCUUCGGGUUGUAAAGCCCUUUUGUUGGGAAAGAAAAGCAGCAGGUUAAUACCCCGCUGUUCUGACGGUACCCAAAGAAUAAGCACCGGCCAACUUCGUG
rnacentral:rRNA from 1 species